UGGCGAACGGGUGAGUAACACGUGGGUGAUCUGCCUUGCACUCUGGGAUAAGCUUGGGAAACUGGGUCUAAUACCGGAUAGGAACCGUCUUUAGUGUGGUGGUUGGAAAGUUUUUCGGUGCAAGAUGAGCUCGCGGCCUAUCAGCUUGUUGGUGGGGUAAUGGCCUACCAAGGCGUCGACGGGUAGCCGGCCUGAGAGGGUGUACGGCCACAUUGGGACUGAGAUACGGCCCAG
rnacentral:rRNA from 1 species